UGCCUGUUCGAGCGUCAUUACAACCCUCAAGCUCUGCUUGGUAUUGGGCGUCACCACCCGGUGCGCCUCAAAGACAGUGGCGGUGCGUCUGGCUUCAAGCGUAGUAACAACCUCGCUCCGGAGCCCAGGCGAGUGCUCGCCAGAACCCCCAAUUUAUCAAGGUUGACCUCGGAUCAGGUAGGGAUACCCGCUGAACUUAA
rnacentral:misc_RNA from 1 species